rnacentral:rRNA from 1 species
GAAAGACGGGUGAGAAUCCCGUCCACCGAUUGACUAAGGUUUCCAGAGGAAGGCUCGUCCGCUCUGGGUUAGUCGGGUCCUAAGCUGAGGCCGACAGGCGUAGGCGAUGGAUAACAGGUUGAUAUUCCUGUACCACCUAUAAUCGUUUUAAUCGAUGGGGGGACGCAGUAGGAUAGGCGAAGCGUGCGAUUGGAUUGCACGUCUAAGCAGUAAGGCUGAGUAUUAGGCAAAUCCGGUACUCGUUAAGGCUGAGCUGUGAUGGGGAGAAGACAUUGUGUCUUCGAGUCGUUGAUUUCACACUGCCGAGAAAAGCCUCUAGAUAGAAAAUAGGUGCCCGUACCGCAAACCGACACAGGUAGUCAAGAUGAGAAUUCUAAGGUGAGCGAGCGAACUCUCGUUAAGGAACUCGGCAAAAUGACCCCGUAACUUCGGGAGAAGGGGUGCUCUUUAGGGUUAACGCCCAGAAGAGCCGCAGUGAAUAGGCCCAAGCGACUGUUUAUCAAAAACACAGGUCUCUGCUAAACCGUAAGGUGAUGUAUAGGGGCUGACGCCUGCCCGGUGCUGGAAGGUUAAGAGGAGUGGUUAGCUUCUGCGAAGCUACGAAUCGAAGCCCCAGUAAACGGCGGCCGUAACUAUAACGGUCCUAAGGUAGCGAAAUUCCUUGUCGGGUAAGUUCCGACCCGCACGAAAGGCGUAACGAUUUGGGCACUGUCUCAACGAGAGACUCGGUGAAAUCAUAGUACCUGUGAAGAUGCAGGUUACCCGCGACAGGACGGAAAGACCCCGUGGAGCUUUACUGUAGCCUGAUAUUGAAAUUCGGCACAGCUUGUACAGGAUAGGUAGGAGCCUUUGAAACGUGAGCGCUAGCUUACGUGGAGGCGCUGGUGGGAUACUACCCUAGCUGUGUUGGCUUUCUAACCCGCACCACUUAUCGUGGUGGGAGACAGUGUCAGGCGGGCAGUUUGACUGGGGCGGUCGCCUCCUAAAAGGUAACGGAGGCGCUCAAAGGUUCCCUCAGAAUGGUUGGAAAUCAUUCAUAGAGUGUAAAGGCAUAAGGGAGCUUGACUGCGAGACCUACAAGUCGAGCAGGGUCGAAAGACGGACUUAGUGAUCCGGUGGUUCCGCAUGGAAGGGCCAUCGCUCAACGGAUAAAAGCUACCCCGGGGAUAACAGGCUUAUCUCCCCCAAGAGUUCACAUCGACGGGGAGGUUUGGCACCUCGAUGUCGGCUCAUCGCAUCCUGGGGCUGUAGUCGGUCCCAAGGGUUGGGCUGUUCGCCCAUUAAAGCGGUACGCGAGCUGGGUUCAGAACGUCGUGAGACAGUUCGGUCCCUAUCCGUCGUGGGCGUAGGAAAUUUGAGAGGAGCUGUCCUUAGUACGAGAGGACCGGGAUGGACAUACCUCUGGUGUACCAGUUGUCGUGCCAACGGCAUAGCUGGGUAGCUAUGUGUGGACGGGAUAAGUGCUGAAAGCAUCUAAGCAUGAAGCCCCCCUCAAGAUGAGAUUUCCCAACUUCGGUUAUAAGAUCCCUCAAAGAUGAUGAGGUUAAUAGGUUCGAGGUGGAAGCAUGGUGACAUGUGGAGCUGACGAAUACUAAUCGAUCGAAGACUUAAUCAAAUU